GCCAGCCGUCCGUCACGCGACACGAUCCUGCCACGUGGUGGACAGAUCCGACACGGGAGGGGGAGAGAGCGGUGGCGUUUUGUCGUGUUUUACGUUUCCAACCCGCCUGUCGUCUCGCACGCAUUCGCUCCUCACACCCACCUCCUCAGCAGCAGGGGAGAGAAAUCCCUAGGUCGUCGGCGACCGCAGCCGGCGAGAGAACAAACGGGGGCGACAAAUCACGGGGGCAGCCCGCACAGGCGAGGAGGUACACCACAUCGCUCCGCGCGGAGGCGAAGCACCACCAGUUUCGAUUGAGAGGGCGACCGCGCGGCCAGUGAAGGGGACGGAGAAGGUACAGGCGGACAAAUCGGCGACGCGAAGACGACGAGGGCGCGGCGAGCUGCUUCAUCCCCGUGGGAAGAGAGUACGCAACAGAAAUAGUGAAAACUAGCCAAGGACAACUUUCCCACCAUCCCUGGCAUGGCAGUUUUUAAGAUGGAGGACUCCCCAGAUCAAUACGAUGGCAAGCUACUGACUACACAUUUUUUGGUUUUCUUUAUUUUUUUCACAACAUUAUUACAUGCCUUAGGUAGAGAAUCAGGCAAAAAAACCUGCAAACUAGAUCAGCACGGAAUUUAUUCAGAACCCGUCCUAUUCAGAAUUAUGCAAUCUCACACAUUUUUUAAUGUUAAACGAUCCUGGAACCUAUCCUGUGCAGAAUCAGGCAAUCCCACCCAUUCAAUCCAAAGUCGCCUUAAACUAUAUACACUUUUGAAACCGCCUAACCCAUCCAACCAACUCGCACCACAACCGAUGCUAGGUCACCUAACCCACCAAUUUUUCUCGCCUACAACAACACACACCCUACAAAAUCGGCUAAGCCGACCAUCCAACUAGCGCACCCUUCAGGUGCUAUGGCGCCUAGCCAUCAAACCUUAUCGUCUACAACACCACACACCUUUUACGCAAAACUGCCUAAGCCUGUCCAACCAACUCGUCCACCCCCUGACACUAUGUCGCAUAGCCCAUCGACCCUAAUCGCCUACAUACACGACACACUUUUUUUGCAAAACCUUCUAACCCCGUCCAACCAACUUGCCCACCCCUUCGUGCUAGGUCGCCUAGCCCAUCGACCCUAAUUGCCUACAACACCACACAACCAUUUUGCAAAACCGCCUAAGCCCGUCCAACCAACUCGCCCACCCCCGACGCUAUGUCGCCUAGCCCAUCGACCAUAAUCGCCUACAAACACCACAACACCUUUUUGCAAAAUCGCCUAAUCCCGUCCAACCAACUCGCCCACCCCUCUCGGUGCUAUGUCGCCUAGCCCAUCGACCAUAAUCGCUUACCACACCACACCCCUCUAUUUUUUGCAGAAAUUGCCUAAGCCCGUCCAGCCAAUUCGCCCACCCCCGGUGCUAUGUCGCCCAUCGACCAUAAUCGCCUACAACACCACACCCCUCUAUUUUUUGCAGAAAUCGCCUUAGCUCGUCCAACCAUGCGACUCCGGUCGUUGUGCUUGUGACACAUCAAAGCGGAGGCAUCAUCGGGGUGCCUUGCCGGACGAAAUAUUUGUGUAAUAUAAUGCCGCGAGAGUGAUUCUUAAAAUCUUCGUCUUAUUCAAUGAAAAUGACAAGCCUUUGGACUUGUUUCAACAUAAUAUGGACCCGAAUGGAGUGAAAUGUUUAAAAUAUGUGCAUACCAUUUCUGGAUUGAGAGAUCUAUUUAUUGAUGGUUGGUUUUUAAAGAUGUCUUAUAAAGUUGUGAAAUUCUACGAGAAAAGGCUUGUGAGUGGAAUUAAUGAGGACGGUGCUUGUGAAGUUUCCUCCAUAGCUCUUUUGCAAUCAAUCAUUCGUCUGUUAUUAUGGUUGUUCCAUUGUAUGCAUGCACAUUGGAAGGCAGAAAGUAAUGUUGGCUGGUCGCCAGAGAAGUAAAAAGGCCAACAUCUUGAGCUGUAUGGAGCAUGGUUGUUUUCUUGAAGUUUCUGAUGGAUUGUAUACCAUUGACUGAGAGGAAUCGUUCAUUCAUGAGAAUGGGACAAGAGCAUUGCUAGAUGGAAUUCGGCUGAGUGUAAGUACACAUGAGAGGUGUGUUUUCAUUGAUAGAGGAAGGGUGAGAGCAUGACACUUGUACAGGAAAAAGAAAGAAAUGGAAACCAAAAUUUUAAAGUAAA